AGUCAGUUGGGGCUGUUUAGAAGUGUUUGGCCCUUUUUCUGUGGCUUGCCUCUGUGUUGCAGGUCCCAGACAGUAGAGUUCGGCCUACUGACCACUCUGCUCGUAGCCAUUCAUCUGGUCUGUCCCCUCCCUGUGUUUCUUGUCUUGGUAGCAGCGUUGGUGUAGCGCCCAAACUGCAAGCCCUCCCAGUGUUUCGUGUUUUGGUAGCAGCGUUGGUGUAGAGACCAAACUGCAAGCCCUCCCUGUGUUUCUUGUCUUGGUAGCAGCGUUGGGUUCUAGACCAAACUGCAAGCCCUCCCUGUGUUUGUCAUGGUAGCAGCGUUGGCCUACUGGCCAAACUGCACGCCUUCCUGGUGUUUGUCUGGCCCAUUGACCAGGCUUUGUUGGGUGUCAAAACCCGCCUCUGCUCUUUUGGCCAUGGAGUUUAUGGUUUGCCUGGUCUAGUUUGAUCCAUCGUCGGGGCGACGAUGCAAGAAGUGAGGGAAGAAUGUAGCAGAACGGGAAUUAGUUCCCGUCUGUAGUGCCCCGUAUACUAGCAGGUAAUUGGUCAACCAAUGGCUUGGUGGGAACUUUUGUAUAUAUUCUCCGUGACUACCCUUUCCCGUUUUCACGUCGGACUGGCUGGUCGCUGCUCGCCCAAUUUCCGCUGCUCACACAGCUUCCCUGUGGAUCCGUCCCCAUGCAUCUCUGUAGCCGGACAUGCAUCAUAGCCGGUAGUCGCUGCUGCAUCCCCUCCUAGCACUCUUGCCCUCUGCAAUGCUAACCUGAGAACUGUAGCUAACAACGGGAUGGGGAACUGCCGCCGUGCUGCUGUGUGACCGCUGCUGCUUUGUCUUCACGAAGCGUGAUCGCUCAUCUGUGUUUGUAACCGUGUGACCACUAACGUUCGUCUCGACUUCGUCAUAUUAAGUGUCAUUCUUGUCAAUUCUGUGUGUACAUGGUUUUGGUUCAUUAUUCUUUUGUUUUGAUUUGCUUUACCACUGGCAGGAGGCCAUUUCCCCUGCGCUGCUGAUAACCAGUGUCCCAACAUCUUACUUUGUAAUGUAUCUCUGGUUUUCUAGCUUUCAUCUUAUGAUUUGAUUAGCCACUGAUAGGAGGCUGCUAUUCCAUCUGUGCUGUGGAUUACCAGUGUGCUAGUGUUUAUGAUUUCUGGGGAAUUACUACUUUAGUUUAUAGUUUGUUUGUUUGUUUGUUUGUUUGUUUGUGUGUUGCACUGGCAGGAGGCCAUUUGUCCAGCUGCGGAGAGCCCGUGUCUUAACUAUUGUGAUUAUUAUUUGUGUUUGGUUAAAUGUGGCUCCCACUAAUUGUCCUCCCCCUGUCCUGUGUCUUUUCUAGGAGCUGAGGCCUACAGUGGAGGGGCUACUGUCUUCCUGGUGGUGUCCCCUUUUUGGUGUGCUACUAUUAUACCUCACGGGUGUUGCUGAUUUGACCUUUGCUGUGUGUGUGUGUGCGAAUACGUGGACACUCUUGCAGUGGUGUGACCUCCUGGGACGCCUCUCUCCUUAGUUAGCCAGUCCCCUCGCUGG